rnacentral:rRNA from 1 species
AAAGGAAUAGACGGGGACCCGCACAAGCAGUGGAGUAUGUGGUUUAAUUCGACGCAACGCGAAGAACCUUACCAGGGCUUGACAUCCACGGAAGGUGUACGAAAGUAUACUGUGCCCUUCGGGGAAUCGUGAGACAGGUGGUGCAUGGUUGUCGUCAGCUCGUGUCGUGAGAUGUUGGGUUAAGUCCCGCAACGAGCGCAACCCUUGCCUUCAGUUACUACGAAAAGAGGACUCUGGAGGGACUGCCGUUGAUAAAACGGAGGAAGGUGGGGACGACGUCAAAUCAUCAUGCCCUUUAUGUUCUGGGCUACACACGUACUACAAUGGCCGUUGUACAGAGGGAAGCGAAGCUGUGAAGCGGAGCAAAACCCCAAAAGCGGUCGUAGUUCGGAUUGCAGGCUGCAACUCGCCUGCAUGAAGUCGGAAUUGCUAGUAAUCGCGGAUCAUCAUGCCGCGGUGAAUACGUUCCCGGGUCUUGUACACACCGCCCGU